GAUGAAGCCGGAGCUUGCUCUGGUGGAUUAGUGGCGAACGGGUGAGUAACACGUGAGUAACCUGCCCUUGACUCUGGAAUAAGCGUUGGAAACGACGUCUAAUACUGGAUACGAGCUUCAGCCGCAUGGCUAGGAGCUGGAAAGAAUUUCGGUCAAGGAUGGACUCGCGGCCUAUCAGGUAGUUGGUGAGGUAAUGGCUCACCAAGCCUACGACGGGUAGCCGGCCUGAGAGGGUGACCGGCCACACUGGAACUGAGACACGGUCCAGACUCCUACGGGAGGCAGCAGUGGGGAAUAUUGCACAAUGGGCGAAAGCCUGAUGCAGCAACGCCGCGUGAGGGACGACGGCCUUCGGGUUGUAAACCUCUUUUAGUAGGGAAGAAGCGAAAGUGACGGUACCUGCAGAAAAAGCACCGGCUAACUACGUGCCAGCAGCCGCGGUAAUACGUAGGGUGCAAGCGUUAUCCGGAAUUAUUGGGCGUAAAGAGCUCGUAGGCGGUUUGUCGCGUCUGCUGUGAAAACUGGAGGCUCAACCUCCAGCCUGCAGUGGGUACGGGCAGACUAGAGUGCGGUAGGGGAGAUUGGAAUUCCUGGUGUAGCGGUGGAAUGCGCAGAUAUCAGGAGGAACACCAAUGGCGAAGGCAGAUCUCUGGGCCGUAACUGACGCUGAGGAGCGAAAGCAUGGGGAGCGAACAGGAUUAGAUACCCUGGUAGUCCAUGCCGUAAACGUUGGGAACUAGAUGUAGGGACCAUUCCACGGUUUCUGUGUCGCAGCUAACGCAUUAAGUUCCCCGCCUGGGGAGUACGGCCGCAAGGCUAAAACUCAAAGGAAUUGACGGGGGCCCGCACAAGCGGCGGAGCAUGCGGAUUAAUUCGAUGCAACGCGAAGAACCUUACCAAGACUUGACAUAUACGAGAACGGGCUAGAAAUAGUCAACUCUUUGGACACUCGUAAACAGGUGGUGCAUGGUUGUCGUCAGCUCGUGUCGUGA
rnacentral:rRNA from 1 species